CCUACGGGUGGCAGCAGUGAGGAAUAUUGGUCAAUGGACGAGAGUCUGAACCAGCCAAGUAGCGUGAAGGAUGACUGCCCUAUGGGUUGUAAACUUCUUUUAUAUGGGAAUAAAAUGUUGCACGUGUGGGAUUUUGUAUGUACCAUAUGAAUAAGGAUCGGCUAACUCCGUGCCAGCAGCCGCGGUAAUACGGAGGAUCCGAGCGUUAUCCGGAUUUAUUGGGUUUAAAGGGAGCGUAGGUGGAUUGUUAAGUCAGUUGUGAAAGUUUGCGGCUCAACCGUAAAAUUGCAGUUGAAACUGGCAGUCUUGAGUACAGUAGAGGUGGGCGGAAUGCGUGGUGUAGCGGUGAAAUGCUUAGAUAUCACGAAGAACUCCGAUUGCGAAGGCAGUUCACUGGACUGCAACUGACACUGAGGCUCGAAAGUGUGGGUAUCAAACAGGAUUAGAUACCCUGGUAGUC
rnacentral:rRNA from 1 species